CAUAGUGAUCCGGUGGUUCUGAAUGGAAGGGCCAUCGCUCAACGGAUAAAAGGUACUCCGGGGAUAACAGGCUGAUACCGCCCAAGAGUUCAUAUCGACGGCGGUGUUUGGCACCUCGAUGUCGGCUCAUCACAUCCUGGGGCUGAAGUAGGUCCCAAGGGUAUGGCUGUUCGCCAUUUAAAGUGGUACGCGAGCUGGGUUUAGAACGUCGUGAGACAGUUCGGUCCCUAUCUGCCGUGGGCGCUGGAGAACUGAGGGGGGCUGCUCCUAGUACGAGAGGACCGGAGUGGACGCAUCACUGGUGUUCGGGUUGUCAUGCCAAUGGCACUGCCCGGUAGCUAAAUGCGGAAGAGAUAAGUGCUGAAAGCAUCUAAGCACGAAACUUGCCCCGAGAUGAGUUCUCCCUGACCCUUUAAGGGUCCUGAAGGAACGUUGAAGACGACGACGUUGAUAGGCCGGGUGUGUAAGCGCAGCGAUGCGUUGAGCUAACCGGUACUAAUGAACCGUGAGG
rnacentral:rRNA from 1 species